AACGUAGGAGGCGAACGUUAUCCGGAUUUACUGGGCGUAAAGCGCGUGUAGGUGGUUCUGUAAGUAGGGCGUGAAAGCUCCCGGCUCAACUGGGAGAGGCCGUUCUAAACUGCAGAGCUAGAGGAUGGUAGAGGGAAGUGGAAUUCCAUGUGUAGCGGUGAAAUGCGUAGAGAUAUGGAGGAACACCAGUGGCGAAGGCGGCUUCCUGGUCUGUAACUGACACUGAGGCGCGAAAGCGUGGGGAGCAAACAGGAUUAGAUACCCCUGUAGUCCCU
rnacentral:rRNA from 1 species